UUUUUUCUCCAUCCUCCCUUAAAAAUGGUUCCAAACUCUUUUUUCAUGUGAAACUCAUUUAGAGAGUGAUUCAAAUACCAGGACCAUCCAAAGAAUGUUUAAAGUUUCCAUUCCACCAAGCAGCUUUACUCUAUGAGCAGACAAGAGUUCAGGCAGGACACACCCAAGACUGCGGUGGACUCCAGAGCUCCCAGGCAGAGCUCUUGGUAGGGAGCCUGGAGACAAAGAAUGGUGGACCCUCCCUGUGGAGGAUCUCUGCAGGAGUGAGUGAAGAGAGAUAGAAGAGCUGCAGAGUGAGGAUGACAGACAAACACGUGAACAGCUCCUGGCAGUUUUCCCUGAAGCUGAAGUGAAGCUGGACCACAGCUGAUUAAACUAAAGAUGCUCAGCCUCCCAAACUGGCAAGAAGAACUUGGGUGAUGUUACCAAAGCAGGCGUGAAGAUUCUGAAACUCUCUGGGAAAUCAGCUUUAAUGAGGACGUG
rnacentral:lncRNA from 1 species